rnacentral:piRNA from 1 species
AGCACAUGCUCUUAACUGCUGAAG